AUCAUUUCUGCCGCCUUUUGGCUAAGAUCAAGUAAAGUAUCUGUUCUUAUCAGUUUAAUAUACUGAAUACGUUGUCUAUCCGACGACAAUAUAUUAAAUGGGUUUUUGGCUCUAGGGGACUUGAAUAGGAGCUUGCUCCGUCCCAUUCCACGCAUCGGACCUGGUAUGUGCAGUACCUCCAGAAUGGUGCACAAAAA